rnacentral:rRNA from 1 species
UACGUAGGGUGCAAGCGUUAAUCGGAAUUACUGGGCGUAAAGCGCACGUAGGCGGCUUUGUAAGUUAGAGGUGAAAGCCCGGGGCUCAACUCCGGAACUGCCUUUAAGACUGCAUCGCUUGAAUCAUGGAGAGGUUAGUGGAAUUCCGAGUGUAGAGGUGAAAUUCGUAGAUAUUCGGAAGAACACCAGUGGCGAAGGCGACUAACUGGACAUGUAUUGACGCUGAGGUGCGAAAGCGUGGGGAGCAAACAGG